rnacentral:rRNA from 2 species
AUAAUGGGUCAGCGACUUAUAUUCUGUAGCAAGGUUAACCGUAUAGGGGAGCCGCAGGGAAACCGAGUCUUAACUGGGCGUUAAGUUGCAGGGUAUAGACCCGAAACCCGGUGAUCUAGCCAUGGGCAGGUUGAAGGUUGGGUAACACUAACUGGAGGACCGAACCGACUAAUGUUGAAAAAUUAGCGGAUGACUUGUGGCUGGGGGUGAAAGGCCAAUCAAACCGGGAGAUAGCUGGUUCUCCCCGAAAGCUAUUUAGGUAGCGCCUCGUGAACUCAUCUUCGGGGGUAGAGCACUGUUUCGGCUAGGGGGUCAUCCCGACUUACCAACCCGAUGCAAACUACGAAUACCGAAGAAUGUUAUCACGGGAGACACACGGCGGGUGCUAACGUCCGUCGUGAAGAGGGAAACAACCCAGACCGCCAGCUAAGGUCCCAAAGUCAUGGUUAAGUGGGAAACGAUGUGGGAAGGCCCAGACAGCCAGGAUGUUGGCUUAGAAGCAGCCAUCAUUUAAAGAAAGCGUAAUAGCUCACUGGUCGAGUCGGCCUGCGCGGAAGAUGUAACGGGGCUAAACCAUG